UCGAUGAGGAGAGAACCACUCGCUGUGUGGUGUCAAGCUAGCCUGCCUGAGGCUGGGUGCGGUCAAGGAAAGCCUCCUGGAGGCCAGGUGGCCCGGAGAGGGGCUGCCGGGAGUUCCCUGCGGCAGGAAGGAACCAGAAUGCUUGUGUCGAGAGUCCUAAUUCGGGGAAAGCUGUUUAGGGGAUCAUCUCCCUCGUGAGGAGGACAGCUGCGGAGCAGGCGUCCACUUUCCGAGCAUGGAUUUCAGAUUACGGGCAAUCACGGCUCGGAGCUGGACCAACACCUGUCAGAGGCGGUUUUCUACGGGGAGAUGAUGUCUUCCAUCAGACGCCAUCGUGCUUCGGAGGAAGGUUCAUUUUGAAGCGUGGGCAGCACGGCGGCAUCUGCUUUCAGGAGUCUGAAGCCGUAUCAUGCCUUUCCGACGAGUCACAGCCUCAGAGCGUCCUGACCACGACAGUGUUGUUCCAGGGCCCACGCAAGGAACCCCCUGGAACAACGUGCCGAGGAGACAAUCAUGGGGCCCCUGCCGGCGUUGAAAAUGUCACUUUCUCUCGCGAAGGAAGUCGGAAACUUUACUUUUGAACAUGGCUGUGGGGCUGUAAUUAACUAGAGGACAGACCCUAUAAACGGUGACGCUAAAUCAAGAAAUUCACUGCCAUGCAACCUGGGGAACUUCCCGACAUUGAACUUGGGUUGCGUGUAUCCGUGAAUGGUGCGGUGAGUUAUUAAUACUGACUGCUGUUUAGAGAAAGACGCUCGGCUUUCAGCUCUGCUCUCAUUAGAGGCGCCGCUAGGUACACAAACCCAGGUACAUUCUCACAUCUGCAGGCUCUAUCGGGUGCAACUAUCAGAAGACAAACUUUAUUUUGCAAACUGCAGUUUAAUGGCCUAACAGUGCACGGACCGGAAUAUCAGUUAAUUUUCAAAACAUUUUAUUCUACACCAAUUAGCUCAGGUCCUGGAGGGUAAAAUGACAAGAGGUUACUCGUUCAGUAUGUAUUUAAUUAAUUGAAAAAUGCUCAAAUUGCUUUUACAGUUGUUAUUAAAAAGUAGAAUCCGUGUUGCCAGUGCUCAACCAUAAUUGGAACCCCAGGGAAUUAAAUAUUUAUCAUUAGUAAUGUAACAGCACUUAGGACACAAAUUUCUAUUUUCGUAAUGAAAGCUAUACGCUUUGAGUGCAAGUGGCUGAAACGACAGCUGUGACAAGUGGAACGGCCUGGGAUAUUUCAAUAAGACACCUCAUUGGACAGCAAGUCUGACCACAUUACUCGUUUGUAAGAGAUCUGCAAGUUUAAUUCCCAGUAGAACCCCGUUACCCAAGUAUUUAGAUUUCUAAUUGCAAAGCAGGAUGAGCAGUUGGGCAAACUGCCUGGCCAUCAGUGGCUGAAAUGUUUGGUGCUCGCUAAAGAAUCCUAUGGAAGUGCAUGCCUUUGUCAAGUUAAAAAUAGUGGCGCUGUCAGAGAAUGAAGAUAUUGUUUGUUUUAAGUUUAAUUGCGUUUUGAGCAUAAAUGCUUCCAGGGCUGCUGUGAUGAGAAAAGUUGGAUCUCAGGCUCUAAUGAGCUGCGGUGGUGGAUAGCGGGAGACCCUCGGGGAUUCACUCUGUAAAUUAACUGGAUAAAAGUCCUGGGUUGGGAUAGAGUUGAUGGCUGAGCUGUUCUUAAAACCCAUUUAUAGAGCUGUCUCUCCCUCCUGUUUUCACCCUAAACAGGCCCUGUGGAGACUUUUACAGCCGCCUGUUACAACUGCUCAACUUGUCAAAAUGUAUUCUAUGACUCCCUAAUAAAGGGUAUUUAAAGGCA